CUAGGAAUCUUGGGAAUGGGCGAAAGCCUGACCCAGCAACGCCGCGUGGGCGAUGAAGGCCUUCGGGUUGUAAAGCCCUUUUGCAGGGGAAGAUGAUGACGGUACCCUGCGAAUAAGCCACGGCUAACUACGUGCCAGCAGCCGCGGUAAUACGUAGGUGGCGAGCGUUGUCCGGAUUUACUGGGCGUAAAGGGCGUGCAGGCGGUUUGUUAAGUCUAGGGUGAAAGCUCCCGGCUCAACUGGGAGAGGUCCUUGGAUACUGGCAGACUCGAGGUGGUCAGAGGAAAGUGGAAUUCCCGGUGUAGUGGUGAUAUGCGUAGAUAUCGGGAGGAACACCAGUGGCGAAGGCGGCUUUCUGGGGCCAACCUGACGCUGAGACGCGAAAGCGUGGGGAGCGAACCGGAUUAGAUACCCCGGUAGUCC
rnacentral:rRNA from 1 species